rnacentral:lncRNA from 1 species
UAGCAGUCUACUAAUUUUCGCAGCAUGAUAAACAUGUACCUUAAUGCCUCGGUGCUUCUUUGUCUGACAAUCCAUCCAUCUGCUCCUUCCUUGCUGUCUACAUGCUUUCCCGUCCUUCCUUAUCUAACCAGUAGCUUGAUCAGACACUUAACCGAAUCUCCUUGUUUCUUAGUCACUCAGCCAACCAUCCCCACGUGACCCAAGUAAAAAAGAGAGACGGCUUGGUCUCCAACCAGCCAUCCAGAACAGACAGUACGCUAGCCAUGCUUGGCGCCCCAGAACCAGUCCUUGAUCACACCCGGAUCA